ensembl:lncRNA
AUUGAAAAGAGAAGUAUCUUGUGUUUUGUGCUUACAAGUUAAUGUCUUAAACUGCCGAUCUUGUUACUGUGCUAAUUAAUAGUGUUUUCACUAUACUUUGGAUAUUAAUAUCCAUUGCAGAGUUGAUAAUAUACAGCUCGUUAAAUGAAUCGCUGAACAUUUCAGCGAUCAGUCUAAAAACAGUGAUUCUGUCCAAAAUUCCUUUAAAAUCUUAAAUGAUUCCCUUUGAGCUAAAUUGACCUGUUUCUCUUACACCUUUGUCAUUGUGUCUUGUUUUCCCUGUGCCUGUUUGAUUGUGUUCCCUUUGCUUAUGCUCUUAAAAAUGCUGGAUUGUUUCAAAUAUGCACUAACCCAACCCUUGGGUUAAAUUUUUACAUCAAAUUUUUUAACCCCAAAGUUGGGUUAGUCCACAUUUGACCUAAAGUUUGGUUGAAACAACCCAGCAUUUUUUAGAGUGUAUCAGUUACUAUGGUUUCUGAUUAGUGCACACCUAUUUCAGUUCCUUUUAAUUGUCUAGUCUGUCUAUUUAAGCCCUGGGUUUCUUCUGUUCAUUGUUCAGUCUUAUCUAUGGUAACUGUGUAGUUUGUUGCUUUGUUUCCUGUGUUUACUAAAACUCCUUGUGAACCUUCUUCAUGCACUUUAUCUGGAUUACUAUACAAAUGUUACUGAAACAUUACAUGACUAUUUAAAAUCACAUCUUUAAACAGACGGAGCAUCUGGAGCCGAUUUUCUAGGAAUGCUCCUGAAAGACCACCAAAGGCUGAACAAAGACAGAGCAUCUGGAGCCGAUUUUCUAGACACCAAUCACCCAGAACCAAUGCAAAUCUGAGAGCAGAAUACAAGUCAGUACUUUAUUUUAUACUAC